AGCAGCCGCGGUAAUUCCAGCUCCAAUAGCGUAUAUUAAAGUUGCUGCAGUUAAAAAGCUCGUAGUUGAAUUUCGGGACUAAUAUGUCGGUCGUGCCUCGGUACGUACUGGCUUAUUGGUUUCUCCUUUCUGAAGAACCAUGAUGUCAUUUAUUUGGUGUCGUGGGGAAUCAGGACCGUUACUUUAGAAAAAAUUGAGUGUUUAAAGCAGGCUCACGCUUGAAUACAUUAGCAU
rnacentral:rRNA from 1 species